rnacentral:rRNA from 1 species
GGUGGUUUGUUAAGUCAGAUGUGAAAGCCCGGGGCUCAACCUCGGAAUAGCAUUUGAAACUGGCAGACUAGAGUACUGUAGAGGGGGGUAGAAUUUCAGGUGUAGCGGUGAAAUGCGUAGAGAUCUGAAGGAAUACCGGUGGCGAAGGCGGCCCCCUGGACAGAUACUGACACUCAGAUGCGAAAGCGUGGGGAGCAAACAGGAUUAGAUACCCUGGUAGUCCACGCCGUAAACGAUGUCUACUUGGAGGUUGUGGCCUUGAGCCGUGGCUUUCGGAGCUAACGCGUUAAGUAGACCGCCUGGGGAGUACGGUCGCAAGAUUAAAACUCAAAUGAAUUGACGGGGGCCCGCACAAGCGGUGGAGCAUGUGGUUUAAUUCGAUGCAACGCGAAGAACCUUACCUACUCUUGACAUCCAGAGAACUUUCCAGAGAUGGAUUGGUGCCUUCGGGAACUCUGAGACAGGUGCUGCAUGGCUGUCGUCAGCUCGUGUUGUGAAAUGUUGGGUUAAGUCCCGCAACGAGCGCAACCCUUAUCCUUGUUUGCCAGCGAGUAAUGUCGGGAACUCCA